UAAAUAUGAGAGUUUGAUCCUGGCUCAGAAUGAACGCUGGCGGCAUGCUUAACACAUGCAA
rnacentral:rRNA from 1 species